UCGGAUAUGGUGUAGCGGCUAACAUGGCUGUCUUUCACACAGCAGCUCCGGGUUCGACUCCCGGUAUCCGAA
rnacentral:tRNA from 1 species